GGCCCUUUAGCUUAAUUGGUUAGAGCGGGUGACUCAUAAUCGCGCGGUUGCUGGUUCGAAUCCAGCAGGGGCCACCA
rnacentral:tRNA from 1 species